GGGGCUGUGGCUCAGUGGUACAGUGCUUGUCUACCAUGCAUGAGUCACUGGGUUUGAUCCUCAGCACCA
rnacentral:tRNA from 1 species